rnacentral:misc_RNA from 1 species
UUUCCGUAGGUGAACCUGCGGAAGGAUCAUUGUCGGGACCCUGACCAAAACAGACCACGCAUGCGUCAUCCAAUCUGCCGGCGAUGACACCGUUCGUCGCUUGGCCAAGUCCUCGACCACCUCCCCUCCUCGGAGUGGGGGCUCAGGGUAAAAGAAACCACGACGCCGAAGGUGUCAAGGAACACUGUGCCUAACCCAGGGGCACGACUAGCUUGCUAGUCGUCCCCCGUGUUGCAAAGCUAUUUAAUCCACACGACUCUCGGCAACGGAUAUCUUGGCUCUC